GUGCUCACUUCAGCAGCAAAUAUUCUAAAAGUGGAAUGACACAAAGAAGAUUAGCAUGGCCCCUAUGCAAGGAUGACGUGCAAAUUCAUGAAACAUUUCUCCCCUUC
ensembl:snRNA U6 U6 spliceosomal RNA